rnacentral:tRNA from 1 species
CUCUAAAUAGUAUUAAAUGUACAUUUGCCUUCCAAGCAAAAAGACUAAUUAACUUAGUUUAGAGA